rnacentral:tRNA from 1 species
GCCUGGCUGGCUCAGUCAGUAGAGCACGCGACUCUUGAUCCUGGGCUUGUGAGUUCCAGCCCCACGGUGGGCU